AGAGUUUGAUCCUGGCUCAGGAUGAACGCUAGCGGUAGGCUUAACACAUGCAAGUUGAACGGUAACAGGGAUAGCAAUAUCUGCUGACGAGUAGCGCACGGGUGAGUAACGCGUAUGCAACCUACCCUUAACAGGAGGAUAGCCCCGGGAAACUGGGAUUACUACUCCAUAGUAUUUAUCUAUAGCAUUUUAGAUAAAUUAAAGCUUUUGCGGUUAAGGAUGGGCAUGCGUAUCAUUAGCUAGUUGGUGAGGUAACGGCUCACCAAGGCAUCGAUGAUUAGGGGUUCUGAGAGGAUUAUCCCCCACACUGGUACUGAGACACGGACCAGACUCCUACGGGAGGCAGCAGUGAGGAAUAUUGGUCAAUGGGCAGAUGCCUGAACCAGCCAAUCCGCGUGUAGGAUGACUGCCCUAUGGGUUGUAAACUACUUUUAUAAGGGAAGAAAAAGCCACUUGUGGUGUUAUGACGGUACCUUAUGAAUAAGCAUCGGCUAACUCCGUGCCAGCAGCCGCGGUAAUACGGAGGAUGCAGGCGUUAUCCGGAUUUAUUGGGUUUAAAGGGUGCGUAGGCGGACUAAUAAGUCAGUGGUGAAAACUUGCAGCUCAACUGUAUUCGUGCCAUUGAUACUGUUAGCCUUGAGUAUAGUUGAAGUAGGCGGAAUGUGUAGUGUAGCGGUGAAAUGCAUAGAUAUUACACAGAACACCGAUUGCGAAGGCAGCUUACUAAACUAUAACUGACGCUGAUGCACGAAAGCGUGGGUAUCAAACAGGAUUAGAUACCCUGGUAGUCCACGCCGUAAACAUGAUUACUCGUUGUGUGCCUUCGGGUACGUGACUGAGCGAAAGCACUAAGUAAUCCACCUGGGGAGUACGUUGGCAACAAUGAAACUCAAAGGAAUUGACGGGGGCCCGCACAAGCGGAGGAACAUGUGGUUUAAUUCGAUGAUACGCGAGGAACCUUACCUGGGCUUAAAUGCAGAUUGACUUUAGUCGAAAGAUUAUUUCCCUUCGGGGCAAACUGCAAGGUGCUGCAUGGUUGUCGUCAGCUCGUGCCGUGAGGUGUCGGGUUAAGUCCCAUAACGAGCGCAACCCCUAUUAUUAGUUGCUAGCAGGUUAAGCUGAGGACCCUAAUAAGACUGCCACCGUAAGGUGUGAGGAAGGUGGGGAUGUCGUCAAAUCAGCACGGCCCUUACGUCCAGGGCUACACACGUGUUACAAUGGCCGGUACAAAGGGCAGCUACAUGGCGACAUGAUGCUAAUCUCUAAAACCGGUCUCAGUUCGGAUCGGAGUCUGCAACUCGACUCCGUGAAGAUGGAUUCGCUAGUAAUCGCGUAUCAGCAAUGACGCGGUGAAUACGUUCCCGGGCCUUGUACACACCGCCCGUCAAGCCAUGGAAGCUGGGGGUACCUGAAGUCCGUAACCGCAAGGAUCGGCCUAGGGUAAAAACUAGUGACUGGGGCUAAGUCGUAACAAGGUA
rnacentral:rRNA from 1 species